rfam:Schistosoma mansoni strain Puerto Rico chromosome W, complete genome
ACCUUUGAGAGGUGGAUCACUCGGCUCGUAUGUUGAUGAAGAGUGCAGCCAACUGUGUGAAUUAAUGUGAACUGCAUACUGCUUUGAACAUCGACAACGUGAACGCAUAUCGCGGCUACGUAUAUCCUGUGGCCACCCCUGUCCGACGGUCG